AUUGAACGCUGGCGGCAGGCCUAACACAUGCAAGUCGAACGAGUGGCGGACGGGUGAGUAAUGUCUGGGAAACUGCCUGAUGGAGGGGGAUAACUACUGGAAACGGUAGCUAAUACCGCAUACCAUCGGAUGUACCCAGAUGGGAUUAGCUCGUAGGUGGGGUAAAGGCUCACCUAGGCGACGAUCCCUAGCUGGUCUGAGAGGAUGACCAGCCACACUGGAACUGAGACACGGUCCAGACUCCUACGGGAGGCAGAAUUGGGGAAUAUUGCACAAUGGGCGCAAGCCUGAUAUAGCCAUGCCGCGUGUAUGAAGAAGGCCUUCGGGUUGUAAAGUACUUUCAGCGAGGAGGCGGUACCCGCAGAAGAAGCACCGGCUAACUCCGUGCCAGCAGCCGCGGUAAUUC
rnacentral:rRNA from 1 species